CAGUAGCCACGGUAAUACGCAGGGUGCAAGCGUUAAUCGGAAUUACUGGGCGUAAAGCGUGCGCAGGCGGUUUGUUAAGACAGAUGUGAAAUCCCCGGGCUCAACCUGGGAACUGCAUUUGUGACUGGCAAGCUAGAGUCUGGCAGAGGGGGGUGGAAUUCCGCGUGUAGCAGUGAAAUGCGUAGAUAUGCGGAGGAACACCGAUGGCGAAGGCAGCCCCCUGGGCCAACACUGACGCUCAUGCACGAAAGCGUGGGGAGCAAACAGGAUUAGAUACCCGCGUAGUCCCUGUCUCUUAUAC
rnacentral:rRNA from 1 species